UCUCCGUUGGUGAACCAGCGGAGGGACCAUUAUCGAUUGUUAAAACUAACCAAACCCUGUGAACAUACCUUCUGUUGCUUCGGCGGGAUCACCCCGGGCGCCCUCGUGUGCCCCGGAUCCAGGCGCCCGCCGGAGGACCUAAACUCUUGUCUUCAUGAGAUUAUCUGAGUGGCUUUAUAGCAAAAAUGAAUCAAAACUUUCAACAACGGAUCUCUUGGUUCUG
rnacentral:misc_RNA from 1 species